rnacentral:rRNA from 1 species
UACCAGCACCCCGAGCGGUCGGGACGAUUAUUGGGCCUAAAGCAUCCGUAGCCGGCUUUACAAGUCCCCCGUUAAAUCCAACUGCUUAACAGAUGGGCUGCGGAGGAUACUAUAAGACUAGGAGGCAGGAGAGGCAAGCGGUACUCAGUGGGUAGGGGUAAAAUCCGUUGAUCCAUUGAAGACCACCAGUGGCGAAGGCGGCUUGCCAGAAUGCGCUCGACGGUGAGGGAUGAAAGCUGGGGGAGCAAACCGG